rnacentral:rRNA from 1 species
UACGUAGGUGGCAAGCGUUGUCCGGAAUUAUUGGGCGUAAAGCGUGCGUAGGUGGUUCGUUAAGUCUGAUGUGAAAGCCCUGGGCUCAACCUGGGAAUGGCAUUGGAUACUGGCGACCUAGAGUGCGGUAGAGGGUAGCGGAAUUCCCGGUGUAGCAGUGAAAUGCGUAGAUAUCGGGAGGAACAUCCGUGGCGAAGGCGGCUACCUGGACCAGCACUGACACUGAGGCACGAAAGCGUGGGGAGCAAACAGG